UACGUAGGUGGCAAGCGUUAUCCGGAAUGAUUGGGCGUAAAGGGUGCGCAGGCGGAACCAUAAGUCUGAAGUAAAAGCCAUCGGCUCAACCGAUGUAAGCUUUGGAAACUGUGGAUCUGGAGUGCAGGAGAGGACAGUGGAAUUCCAUGUGUAGCGGUAAAAUGCGUAGAUAUAUGGAGGAACACCAGUGGCGAAGGCGGCUGUCUGGCCUGUAACUGACGCUGAGGCACGAAAGCGUGGGGAGCAAACAGG
rnacentral:rRNA from 1 species